rnacentral:tRNA from 1 species
UUUUUUCUAAAGAAAAAAUAAUAAACUUCAAAUUUAUAAAAAAAAAAUCUUAAUUAAAAAAU